rnacentral:rRNA from 1 species
UUUCUGAUGACGAGUGGCGCACGGGUGCGUAACGCGUAUGCAAUCUACCUUUUACAGGGGGAUAGCCCAGAGAAAUUUGGAUUAAUAUCCCAUAGUAUCAAGAGUCGGCAUCGGCAUUUGAUUAAAGAUUUAUCGGUAAAAGAUGAGCAUGCGUCCUAUUAGCUAGAUGGUGUGGUAACGGCACACCAUGGCAACGAUAGGUAGGGGCCCUGAGAGGGGGAUCCCCCACACUGGUACUGAGACACGGACCAGACUCCUACGGGAGGCAGCAGUGAGGAAUAUUGGACAAUGGGCGCAAGCCUGAUCCAGCCAUGCCGCGUGCAGGAAGACUGCCCUAUGGGUUGUAAACUGCUUUUAUACGGGAAGAAACACUCCCUCGUGAGGGAGCUUGACGGUACCGUAAGAAUAAGGAUCGGCUAACUCCGUGCCAGCAGCCGCGGUAAUACGGAGGAUCCAAGCGUUAUCCGGAAUCAUUGGGUUUAAAGGGUCCGUAGGUGGAUAAUUAAGUCAGAGGUGAAAUCCUGCAGCUCAACUGUAGAAUUGCCUUUGAUACUGGUUAUCUUGAGUCAUUAUGAAGUGGUUAGAAUAUGUAGUGUAGCGGUGAAAUGCAUAGAUAUUACAUA